GAGCUGUGAGUCACCGCAGAGCCUGGAGUUGUGUCUGAAGCCACUCAAGCAGAGAGAUGGGAAGAGAGCGCCCCCUGGCUUCGAAACAGGGCCAUGAGCCACACAGGAAGCAAUGUGGUUUUCAGCAUGCUGCUUCAGGAACAGGCACGGUAAAGUGGCCCCCACUAUAACUGCCUAAACUGAUAAAGGCAUGUUUGAUUUUUAACUGAAGAUCAACAAAGUCAUUAACUCCCUGCCUCAGAGGUGACAUGCAGUCAAGAUCCCGAAAUCCCACAACCUGGUAUCCAGAUUGACUGUGGGGACAGUGGCACUUUGUUUUUUUGUUCAAAUAAAAAC